rnacentral:rRNA from 1 species
GACAGAGGGUGCAAACGUUGCUCGGAAUUACUGGGCGUAAAGGGGCGUGUAGGCGGGAAGGCAAGUCGGGCGUGAAAUCCCCAGGCUCAACCUGGGAACUGCACUCGAAACUGCCUUUCUUGAGUGUCGGAGAGGAAAGCGGAAUUCCUGGUGUAGAGGUGAAAUUCGUAGAUAUCAGGAGGAACACCAGUGGCGAAGGCGGCUUUCUGGACGAUAACUGACGCUGGAGACGCGGAAAGCGUGGGGAGCAAACAGG